GUGGGGAAUAUUGGACAAUGGGCGAAAGCCUGAUCCAGCCAUGCCGCGUGUGUGAAGAAGGUCUUCGGAUUGUAAAGCACUUUAAGUUGGGAGGAAGGGCAGUAAGUUAAUACCUUGCUGUUUUGACGUUACCGACAGAAUAAGCACCGGCUAACUUCGUGCCAGCAGCCGCGGUAAUACGAAGGGUGCAAGCGUUAAUCGGAAUUACUGGGCGUAAAGCGCGCGUAGGUGGUUUUGUAAGUUGGAGGUGAAAUCCCCGGGCUCAACCUGGGAACUGCCUCCAAAACUGCAUGACUAGAGUACGGUAGAUGGUAGUGGAAUUUCCUGUGUAGCGGUGAAAUGCGUAGAUAUAGGAAGGAACACCAGUGGCGAAGGCGACUACCUGGACUGAUACUGACACUGAGGUGCGAAAGCGUGGGGAGCAAACAGGAUUAGAAACCCCAGUAGUCC
rnacentral:rRNA from 1 species